GACGAACGCUGGCGGCGCGCUUAACACAUGCAAGUCGAACGAAGUGGCGAACGGGUGAGGAAUACGGGGGUAACCUGACCUCCUUUUGGGGAUAAGCCUGGGAAACGGGGUCAAAUACCGAAUAAAGGGGGAUGGGAGCGCGGCCUAUCAGCUGGGUGGUGGGGUGAUGGCCUCCCCAGGCGGUGACGGGUAGCCGGCCUGAGAGGGUGACCUGCCACAUAGGGACGGAGAUACGGCCCAGGCGCCUAAGGGGGGGAGCAGUUGGGGAUAUUGCACAAUGGUCGACAGCGUGAUGCAGCGAGGCCGAGUGGGGGAUGAAGGCUUUCGAGUUGUAAACCUCUUUAGCUAUCGGUCCGGUAGGUGGAGAAGAAGCGCCGGCUAACUACGUGCCAGCAGCCGCGGUAAUUC
rnacentral:rRNA from 1 species